rnacentral:rRNA from 1 species
UGCAGAAGAUCAUUAUUUUAUUUAAAUGA